rnacentral:rRNA from 1 species
UACGGAGGAUCCAAGCGUUAUCCGGAAUCAUUGGGUUUAAAGGGUCCGUAGGCGGUUUGGUAAGUCAGUGGUGAAAGCCCAUCGCUCAACGGUGGAACGGCCAUUGAUACUGCCAGACUUGAAUUAUUAGGAAGUAACUAGAAUAUGUAGUGUAGCGGUGAAAUGCUUAGAGAUUACAUGGAAUACCAAUUGCGAAGGCAGGUUACUACUAAUGGAUUGACGCUGAUGGACAAAAGCGUGGGUAGCGAACAGG